UUUUACUAGAUUUUAAUAAUCUAACUUAAGGUCGAAACUUAAUGCAAUAAUUCGCUUUAGUAAA
rnacentral:tRNA from 1 species